rnacentral:rRNA from 1 species
AUGAAACUUCAUGAGAAAAGGAGAAAGAUUGGAAUGAAACUGAAAGGAAAAAUUAUUCCAGCCAUCAUCCAACAGAUUCAUAAUAGGACAAGGGGACUUAAACAUUUGAAAGUUGGGAAAUUUGGAGUUGCAAGUUGUGAGGUGAGGGACACAAGUAAAUACAACUUGCGACAUGUUGUGAAAACUGCUGAUGAGGCAACACAUGCAGCACCACAACUUGAAGUUGUUGUGACUCCCAAUAGGCACAUGAUCACUAUGCCACCGAAUCUUCAAGGCAGUCCCAAUCCCGUGACUAGAAGGUAA